UACGCGGGGUGCAAGCGUUGCUCGGAAUUAUUGGGCGUAAAGGGUAGGUAGGUGGCCUCAUUUGUCUGGGGUGAAAGCCUUGAGCUUAACUCAAGAAGUGCCCCGGAAACGGUGAGACUGGAGUCUUGGAGAGGGUCGUGGAAUUCCCGGUGUAGCGGUGAAAUGCGUAGAGAUCGGGAGGAACACCAGAGGCGAAGGCGGCGUCCUGGAGAAGUACUGACACUCAACUACCAAAGCGCGGGGAGCAAACAGG
rnacentral:rRNA from 1 species